CACACACACACACACACACACACACACACACUCUCAGGAUAGCUGUGCUCUUUGGGGGCGUGACUCACAGAAUGAAGCCAGAACAGCGCCCUCUAGCGACUGGGCCAGGAGAGUGGGCUCUGGGCCUCUCCUCACUCCUGCCGGUCCUGCUGGAGGGUUAAUAUCGGCACUGUUGUUUCUCAUUAUUCAUGAGACAAGCUUCCUCAUUUCAGAUUUGCCCAGUGGUUCUCAGAGCAGGAGGGGAUGAUGAAGUUCUGUUUCAGCUGCGUGGACGUCUUGGGGAGCGUUUGGAGCGUCCAUGCAGACGUGCUACCUCCGUGCACUUCUUAGCUGAGAUAACAGGGCUCUGAGCCCCACUGUUAAGGUUCACCUCUACACUGCAGAAGGACAACAGAUGGAAAUUCUGGUUUGCAGCCACUGCAGAAAAAUAAAAACAUGUUCCAAAGGGGAAAGGAUCUUGUAUUUCUGCGUUUGAACCUUUGAUCUGCAUUCACAUCUGAAGGGAAGGCUAGGCCUUUUGGUGGAGACACAUGGCUUUGCAUCUGUGAAAACACAGCUGUAUAUAGCAAAACAAAACUAGUGGAAAAUACAAUGGUUUUGCUGUGUCAGGCUAGCCGCUAAUGCUCAAAUUCUAUACAAAUAUUGUUUUUUGAUAGUUCUUUCCAAAAUCCGUCUUGACUUUAUAAUUGUUCAGGAAUGUUUUAUUCUUUUAAAUUCACAUUUUGAGCCUUUUUGAAAUGAAGGCAUGUGGGUCUCAUUCCCUUAGAUUUGCUUUUAAAAAGGCAGUAAAAGACUUGUAGUUAAAUUGUAGUAACUGUUAUCUAAAUCUUAAUUUAAUUGCGGGAGGGUGGCGGGAUAGAAAAAAAUUAAACCCUUCAAAAAAGGUUCCAUCCUUGAUCCUGAAAAUCUUUUUUUUUUUUUUUUAAGAUAAUAUUGCAUGGGCUUUGUGCUGCAAGUUACAGCUGAAAGGCCUCUUAAGCGCUCUUGAAACUCAACUGCUUUGUUUUGAGCAAUUAAGAUUUGUUAUGGAGUGCUUUAAGCAGCUCUGCUUUCCUUCAUCUUUAAAUAGUAGUCUUCAGCUAGUUUCUUUAUCAGCGUUUCCCAGUAACUAAGCCAAAUUUGUUUCAUUAGGAGGCACUUGCCUUGAGCCUCCAUGUUUCCUCUCAGCCCCAGACGCGGAGCCCAAGCCUGUGCGCCCGCCUUAUCCUGCCCCAUACGGUUGGUUUCCUACUAUUGAAUUGGCAAUCUUUUUCCGUCCCUCCCCUUUCCGUUAAAGCUCUGGCCCCCCGUCGGCCCUGCCACAGGAGUGGGGUGCAGAGGGGUGGAGGACAAAAGACGAGGAUGAGAGUUGGCCGGGCCAGCAGAAGGCCGCUGCCUGCCCCUGCCCUGCAGAAGUGUCCCUUCCAUUUUUCUGAAAGGGGCCCGGCUUCUUGGGCUGUCACCCUCCCCACCCUGUCUUAACACCAACAGCUUCAUCAACAAGCGGCUCAGGAGAUGAAAGGUGGUCUUCUUUAAGCGAGAUCAUUUUUUUGUCAAAAAUAAUAACAACCUCUGGUGUUAAUCACACCGGUGGGAAGAGCAAGAGCGAACAUCCUUCCACGCAAGCCCCGGGAAAGUUUUCCCUUUGAAGUGCUGGUUCCCGCCUCACCCUUCCAGGAGGGAAGAGGGGAAAAGAAAACAAGGGUGAAGAUCUGAAGCCACUGAGGAAUGCUGAAUUGAUGUCUUCCCUCGGCAUCCCGGCCCCUCUAGCGGUCCUCCCCUCCUUUCAACUCUCUGCCCUUUGAAACCGCGGGCCUGGGGUGGCCGGGUCUCCCAACCAGGCCCUCUUGUAGCUGCAGGCUUCCCCCUCCGACUGGCAGCGGGGCGGUGGCCGCGCAGAGAAGCGGGCAGAGCGGGCAGAAGCCGGCUGAAGGGGUGGGAGCACCCGGCAGAGCCUGCUUAGGCUUAUGGCGGGAGGCUUUGCCGUUCUGAGCAAAGAAAAAACAAACAAACCCAAAGCCCCCAAAUGAACAAAAAAAGCCCUCCCCCAGCCCCAGCCCCUCCUUCACAGCUGCAUUUUGCUCCCAGGACUGUGGGUGUCACUAGAGCCUCUUUUUUGCGACUGGAGAGGCUCUCCUACAGGACUUGCCAAGCCUAUUAAAUUUUCAGGCAGAACAGAUCAAGCCUGCGUUUGAUGCUGCUGUUUCCUCAUUUAGUAUUCAAAGGUAAAGAAUCCUACCUUCUCACUCGUUACAUAAUUAAAAGAGGGUUUUUUUUUUCUAGUGGCAAAGAACUUGUCAUGUGUAGUAUUUUUUGAAGUAAAAGGUCUAACUUUUUAUAUAACAUCUGUUCUUACGCUCUUUCCUAAAUAUAACCAAUAUUUACUUGUUUUUGUUGGUCCUGAGUUGCAUACCGUACACCCUGCGUUUUAAUUUUCGACAGAUGGGGUUAUAAACAGUAUUUUCCCCCUCCAGCUCAUUCCUCUAAGUUUAAAUUUCUGUAUUUCUGUUCUAACCAACCAAGAGUGCAAUUAAAACUAAAACUCUAGAACCGACAAAUAGCCCUAACUUCUCUCUUACUCUCGAUUUUACUUUACGCUUGCACAUUCUAAAGUUAACGCGAGUGGACUUUCACGUUUCCAUCUGCGGUGUCUAAUAGCAAACUGUGGCCCUCAACACCACUUCAGGGCCUUUUGUGUUCUUCGCUGCAUUUCAGAAGUGCCUUCGGUUUCUCUGCAUAUGCAAAAAGCCCAGCCGAAUUUUUUGACACCACACGUAUGCACACACCCGCUCACCCCGGCCCCAACUCUCUGUUUGUUGGUGGCAUCUUGUCGUCCAUUGUUUGGUUGUUGGUGUUGGCAAAAGUCAUUCAUUUAAUGGUGCCAGAGAUAUUAUGCCUUAUUCUUUAUUGGAACAAAACCCGAAAAUAUCCCCAAGUAUUUUAAAAAUGAAUGCCUGCCAUUGGAACUGUUAUAAAUUAGCAUAGUUGUAUUUUCCCAUCCUAAGGUAGAUAAUAUUUUAAAGGUACCAGGUAGUAAUAGUCACCAUAAGCUGAUUAAAAUGGCUAGGAUUCUAUCAAAAACCUAUUAGUGGCAUAAAUAAUUGAUAUCUGGAAAUCAAGCAGCCUUUCUGUGCGUAUACCACUGCGCGGGCAGCACGGUCCAGUACUUCCACGAGGCAGAGGAAGGUUCCUGGGAGUUAUGUUGCCUGGGUUUUAAAAGCUUGAUAAAGCCACACACAAACUGAUUUAAAAAAACCAAAAAAUUCUGCCUGGGAGCGGAAUAGUGACAUUAUUUUCAGGUGUUUGAGCUUCUUAGAGAAAAGGAACAAGUAACAAGACUUCUCAGGAGCCAGGUGUGAACGGAAUAAAUUGAGGCAGUGUCCUGACCCAUCCAGCUUUUUGUAAAUGAUGUGAUUAAAAGGGACAUCUGAGAACAAAUUUAUGAAGUUGUUAUGGCAACUGAAACACUUGGGUGGAAAUAUGUGUGUCUGAAACAUGAAAGAUUGCAGGAAGCUGGAGGAAGAAGCGGGCGUUUUAUAUGGGCAAGGCGGUUGAACAGUGGCAGCCAAAUGUGAUCCCUCCGCCGGUCAUCAUUCAGGACUGCGGCCUUGAUUUCCACUUUUCAGAACGUGUGGUGACCGAUGCUUUCCCAGACUGUGCUACCCGAAGUCGCCACGCCUUGCACACAGCAGCCUCUGCACACGGGUCCCUUGACCUGUUGAGAGCACUCUCUCCUACGUACGAAGGUGCAUUUGGAGUUGCCUCAGCAUUUGCCCAGAAGUUUGCACGUCUGUGUUCUCGUAUUGAUGUCCUUGUUUUGUGAAUUUUCUCUCCCUGUUUUCCUCCACUGGCUUCCCCUACCCAAGCCCACAAACAAACAGCAGUGCUUAAAGGAAUCAAAAUACUUAAAUAUUCCCGAGGAUUCUCUGCUCUCUUCCAAAAACUGUCUAUCGCUUCUCCAUAAUAUGACACUACCAUAAUUUCUCAUGCUUUUUGAUUUUUCUCUCCCAUGCUGGCAAGAGUAUGAAAUAAUGGUUCUUUUAAAUCACAGGCACGGAUAUUUAAAAUUCUACAUAUUUUGUACUACAGAGUGUUGGAAAAAUCAAUACUUUGUCACAUCCAGAAUGCUUUAAAUUUUUUUUUAACUUUACAAUAUUGUAUUGGUUUUGCCAUAUAUAAAUUUUUUUCUGUCACUAGAUUUCAGAUAUAUACAGUGCCUAAAAAUUGUUUUAAGAAUCACAUUAUUUCCUAUAUAUUUGGCACUGUUUUGCUUUGAAUGAAAAGAUAGUUAAAUGUCAGUUAUAGUAAUUUUAGUGGUUAGACUAUUCUAUAAGAAAUAUGCUAUUUUAAUUGAAAAAAGUUUGACCCUAAAAAUAAAUUUAAACCAACAAAUUCUAAUGAAAAUAUUUUCUUCACAUUUAUUUUUGAAUAUAGAUUACUGCUUAUUUAGUCUCCUUGAUUUUAAGCAUAGUACUUUUCACUUUGAACAGUCUUAAUUCCUAAAAUUAAGAUAAGUGAAGAAAAAGAGAAAAAAUUAAAAUAGUUUUUAGAGAAUGUUAUUUUCCUUAAGUCAUGAAUUGGAGCUUUUCACUCUUACUGAAAUGACUCAACAGUUUUUUAGUUGAACAUGAAAUUACACAAAAAUUGCCCUUAUAAAUAUAAUGAGGUGUUUUCCUAAUUUUUUAAAGAAUGAGAUAAAAACACUUUUCUAUUCUAUUGCAAAGUUAACUGCUGUUAAUCUGAAAGACUAUUCAUUUAAAAUAUUUAGUUACACCAGUAUUUUAAAUCCCUUUUUGCAUAAGGACAAGGAAAUGGUUGUGUUUUGAUCUAACUUCCUUAUUUGCAAAAUCCAUAGAUGGAAGAUGAUACCAAAAUAAAAAAGAAUGUUUCAAGAGUAUUAAACCUAAGAAUGCAGGGUCUUUACACACAUUUUACAGAAAUAAAUUUCCUGUUUCCCUUCUUUAGUCUUUUCAUCUCAAGGGUUUUUGGUUUUUCCUUUUUAAGAAAAUAUGAUUUUGAUACUUCCGAAGUAGAUACUAUUUUAUUUCAGGUGGUUCAUUUAAUAGUUUGUUGAUGUUUUCAAGGUCUCUAAACAAAGUCUGAUGUGUUAACAGUCUUAUUAACGAUGUUAAAAUAGAAUUAACAGCUUGUGGAUGCCUCCAGAGCACAAUAGCCUGUCAACCUCUCCUGCCCCCUUAUAAACUGUACCCCUGCUGUCUUCCCUUUGUUUCACGCCCAAUCAGCAAACUAAACUUUUGUGGAGAGAGAAGGCAGUUCAAGUGUUCCUGCUACCGUUGAAGGGAGGAGCUAAUGUGGAAUUUACGGGGAGACCAAUCAGUGCUGGAGGGAAGAAUGACCCCAAACGGGGAAGAAGGACUUUGUUGACCUGCUUGGCUCCCUGACCUUUCCUUGCUAUUUUGUCGCUUUAAAGAGGUUUGCUCUGGUUGUCGCGUACUUUACGAUCCUUUUACCAAAGCCACAGAAGUUUUGGAUGUUUGGGAUUAUUUAAAAUACUUCGCACAGGUUUAAUUGUGUUGUGUGUGUGUGUGUGUGUGUGUGUGUGUGUUUAAUAAUUGGACUAGAUGUUAGCACUCAACAUCAUUUUUAAAAGUCUGAUCCAACUACUAACAGUUUUUCUUAUAGGGGAAUAGAGUUUCAUCAAUUAUCUUGAGCCAAAGUGCAUUCUAAAUCUCUUCCAGGGUCUCUUGCCCAUAGCUGCUUUCAUCGAGAAUCAUUAGCUACUGAUGUUAAGCCAUUCAUCCUAUUUUGUUGAAAUUAUUCUUUGAAAAAUAGAUUUAUACUUUCUAAGUGUUUAAAAUAUUAGGCAGUGAUCAUAAUGAAUAGAAAAUAAAGAUUUUUUUUUUUUAGGAGAAGGCUGAUUUUUCAUUCAUAUUGCUAAUUUAACAAAUUGUCUCAUUUAAAAGUACAGAUUUAUGGGAUAACCUGACAAAUGAGUCAUACCAUUUUAUCUUUUGCCACCAUCUGACUUGAUAACCUAUGAAAUGCAGCACAUUUAUAAAAUAUUUCCUAAUCUCAUGGCACACUUCACUGGUUUUGGUAAGGGAUGAGAUCUUAUUGAGAAGUAUUUUUUAGGUCACUCAACCACUUAUUCGUUUACUGGUAUUGUUCUUUCUUGUAAUGUGGGGUUUUUGUUUACAUUACUUUUAAACAGGCCACUGUUCAGUCGCUCAAAAUACAGUGCUGAGAUCUAAGACAGUCCAUGUGGGUACAAAAAAAAAAGCAUCUCAGGCUGGAUUCAGGACACUGAGCAUUUUCUUUAAACCACAGUUAAAUAAAAUCACUGAUACACCCAGAUAUGGAGAGUGAGAUACAUUUAAAUGACCUGUGGUUUCAAAAUGAUUAUUUUGUCAAGGAAUAUGCUAGAAGAAAACAGGGCAGUACUAGCUUAUCACUUCUCUUAGCUCACAUUGUGCUACAUAGCCGAUCCCCAAGGGGAAUAUUUUCUUAUACUUUAUAAACCCUAGAAAUGGCAUCCUUCAAUUGAACUGGAGCAAACAAGUUGUAUGUCUGUGAAACUGGAGCAGGCAGGGCUUUGUGUGAUACCAGCCACAUGUGCUGGUAUAAAUAUCAAUAAUAACAUUUUCUGGUGGGCAUCUUUGAGUGCACACUGCCUCACUAAGGUCCUUUCACCUGGCCAAGGAAGAACAUCACUGUGGUAGUUCUCCCACAGCUGUAACUGCUGUAAUUUUUACCCGAAGCACUUGCUGUUGUCCACCCCCCAGCCCAUGGCCUCGUGUGUCCUAACACCCUGCAGCUGGGUAGCAGGACCAGCUCACGGCCAAGUAUAGCUGAGCUCUUUUGGGGCAUGCCCGCUGAGUGAGUGCCCCAGGCCCUGGAGUUGGGGAUAUGCCGAGGGAUGUGGGUACCUCACAGUCAUGGGGACCAGACGUCAGUACUGUGACCACCUGAUUCAAGUAUCCAGUGUGUGUCUGCAUGACUUGGGAACGCUGAGAAAGCCAAAGGGAUUAUCGACAUACAAAGCUUGACACCUUUGUGCAGAAGCCAGCUGGCAUCUCACGGGGACAACCUGAGCUGUUCCAACAUCAGGAAAGCUGGGUUUGGCUGGAUCUGGUUGGCUCCUGCUAUUCCAGGAGCACGGCAGGCUUGGCCCCAAUGGAGGGAGGGGAAGAAUACCCUGGGGCUGAUACUGGGACCCAUUUCUUUUGUUUCCGGUGAGGCAGAGAGGAAUAGAACUGCAAAAAUGAUGAUAUUUUAAUAACCAGGGCUUUUCUCCAUAAAGACUUUGUACAUAGCAUUUAUCCUCCAAAAAGUCUCUCCUCUUUUUGUGAUUUUAUAAAUUUGAAGGAAAAGGAGAAAAGGUCUGUGGUCCCAGCACUUGCCUUCAUCUAAAUAACUCUCGCUCACUGAUGAUUAGCAACAUAAAUCCUGUUUGAGUUCUGGACUAGUACUCUCAGCCGGAAGUUUUCAUAUGCUUUUUAGAAUUCUGAACUGGCCACAGCAGCUUUUAGGAAAGUAAAGGAUACAAAUAAAGUUUAUAAUAAUUUGACUGUUCACUUCUGCAUUUCAAAAUAUGUCAUUUGUAGAAAUUUUUUUCUCUGAAUCUUUGGAAUUCCCUGAAUACUUUGAAGCCAGUUGUGAAAUGCUGCUUUAGAAAGAGUUUAUAUAAAAAAAAAGUUUAUAUAAAUGUGCUUCUUUAUUUAAUCAUAAGGGAGAUUUAGAGAAAGGAUGUUUUAUUUUUCUGUAGUUUUGUUUGAUAAGAAUAUGGAAUUACUGUUAUGAUUACUAAUGAUACCUUACAUUUGCACAGCACUUUAGAAUUUUUACAAAUAUGAUUGCACAUAAUUUUUGAAAGAGUUUGACCGGAAGAUAUUAUUAUCCUGGUUUUAUAGACAAGGAAUCAAUAAAUGCACACACAUGUAACAUACCAUGUAGUUCCAGCAUUAUAUUUCCAGAGGAUUCUGUGCUUUAGGAAAUAUAUUUGGUAUGUAAAAUGGCUAAAAACUACAAAUCUAGGACUGAAGAAUUUAUUUUGGUUUCACAUAGUAGCUACAAAAGAUGACAAAAACAGGAAUAAAAUCAUGUGAUAAUGUGCAGUGCCUCUUUGAAUGCACAGCUAUCUGAAUUUUUGUUGGAUGAUUGCUUUGUUUUCAUGUGUUUCACAUCUAUAUCAUAGCAUGCUAUAUUAUAGCACAAUACUAAAAUAUAAAAAAUAGUCAAAGUAUCCCUCAUAUUUUUAAAGAUAAAAAUUAUAAUCACAAUAUCAUAGCAGAAUAGUGUUUUCCCAUUAAAGGAUAGUCUGAUUUGUAGUUGACUGUAAUUUCUUUCUUAUGAGAUCUCAAAACAGACAAAAUAUAUUUACUCUCGAUAUUUUCCCCUGCUUGUUAAAGACUAGGUAUUCAGAAUAUUUGUUUUGAGACGUUUAUUGCUACUGUUCAGAAACAGAACUAUGUUAUUGGGCAGGAAAAUCUGAUUAGUGUUUCUAAGAACUGUUAUAGCACAGCAAGACAGGCAAGCAAUCCGAAGUGCAAGGUUAAAAGCAAUUUAUAAAAACUAGGCAAAGACGUUACUUGUUAAAAAAAGAAAUACAUAUUUCUUAAGAAAAAAUUGUCUAAGUGAUAUUCUUGACUACUUUUUCGUUAUAGUACUUUCAGGUUAUUUUCAUUAAAAAUAUUUUCUUUGAGGGGAGCAGAGAAGGAAGAAUUAAAAUGAGAAAGAAGACCUCAAAAUUUGCUAUUCGGUAAGAUCCUAAAUCUUAUUAAUAUAGUUUUCCGUGAAAAAAAUUAAACUUUUUAAAAACUUCAUAUGUUAACCCUAAGAAAAGUCUCCACAUAUGGUCCCAAA